rnacentral:rRNA from 1 species
AACGCGAAGAACCUUACCCGGGCUUGACAUGUAGAGGAAGAGUGCAGAGAUGUACUCGCCGGGGCAACUCGGCCUUUACACAGGUGCUGCAUGGUUGUCGUCAGCUCGUGCCGUGAGGUGUUAGGUUAAGUCCUGCAACGAGCGCAACCCUCAUCCUUAGUUGCCAUCAGGUUAAGCUGGGCCCUCUAAGGAAACUGUCGCUGAUAAGGCGGAGGAAGGUGGGGAUGACGUCAAAUCAGCAUGGCCCUUACGUCCGGGGCUACACACGUGCUACAAUGGAGAGUACAGCGGGAAGCCAACGAGCAAUCGGGAGCAAAUCCCCCAAAACUCUCCUCAGUUCAGAUUGCAGGCUGCAACUCGCCUGCAUGAAGUCGGAAUCGCUAGUAACCGCAGAUCAGCACUGCUGCGGUGAAUACGUUCCCGGGCCUUGUACACACCGUAGUAC